rnacentral:rRNA from 1 species
ACUCCUGCGGGAGGCAGCAGUGGGGAAUUUUGGACAAUGGGCGAAAGCCUGAUCCAGCAAUGCCGCGUGAGUAAAGAAGGCCUUCGGGUUGUAAAGCUCUUUUGUCAGGGAAGAAACGGUGAAAGCUAAUAUCUUUUGCUAAUGACGGUACCUGAAGAAUAAGCACCGGCUAACUACGUGCCAGCAGCCGCGGUAAUACGUAGGGUGCAAGCGUUAAUCGGAAUUACUGGGCGUAAAGCGUGCGCAGGCGGUUUUGUAAGUCUGAUGUGAAAUCCCCGGGCUCAACCUGGGAAUUGCAUUGGAGACUGCAAGGCUAGAAUCUGGCAGAGGGGGGUAGAAUUCCACGUGUAGCAGUGAAAUGCGUAGAUAUGUGGAGGAACACCGAUGGCGAAGGCAGCCCCCUGGGUCAAGAUUGACGCUCAUGCACGAAAGCGUGGGGAGCAAACAGGAUUAGAAACCCUAGUAGUCCCA